UUACAUGGUUUAUAAACUAAAAAAAUAAACCCUAAAAUCUCAGCAGCCCUCUCUUUUUUUAAAAGAAAACCUAAAGCAAAGAAAUACCCUCCCCAUGCGCCGCUUCAACAUCGGAGCCCCCAACCAUCUGGUUCUAAUCGGAACCAACGAGGGAUUCGACAGCGGGCUUAACCAGAAGUUUUGUUGCAUUUGCAAUCUGGUCCCUCUGGCAAACAGGCGCCAUUUGCGCACCUGCCCUCCGCGAUUUUCGGCCGCCGGCCCAAUGCAUGGCCUCCCUUCUCCACUGCCACCUGAAGACAACAAGGAAGAAGACAAAAUUGAAGGAUUUAAAUGAAGAAAAUGAGAGAAAGAGAGGCGGAGGGGUUUUUGCAGAAAAAAAUUGAAAAAAAAAACAGCAGCAAAACAUUCAAGAAACAGCAGCCUAAAGCCUCCUCCCGUAACCAUCCCCGUCGCCGCACCGCCACCGUGACAUCACCACCACCGUCGCGCAACCACCGCCACCGCAACCACCAAAACCACCACUUAAAACCCAACCACAAAGCAACCAAGCAAAAAUCAAGAAAAAAACUUCCAAAAAUCAGCAGCUAAGGAUUUUUUAAAAAAAAGCAUUUACCUUGGAAUCGUCGGCCACCAAGCGCGGAGAGGAGCCGAGGACGAGUACAGCGGCGGCGCUUUCAACCUUGGGGGUUGCCGAGAGAAGGAGGAGGAAGAAAGAAGAAAAAAAGAAAGAAGAAAAAGAAAAAGAAAGAAAUAGAAAUAGAAAUAGAAAUAGAAAUAGAAAAAAGAAAAAAAGAGAGAAAAAAUAAAAAAUAACAGACGGGUCACCCCGACCCGACCCGUGCAAACUGACCCGACCCGAACAGGCCAGCCCAGCAGGCCCAAAGAGCAGCCCCCCAAAAAAAAACAAAGUAGAAAAAAAUAGAAGCAAGCCACAGCAGGCCCAAUCCAGCGCAGGCCCAGUCCAGCAGCUGGUACCAAGCCCAGCGCAGAAGCAGGCCAGCCCAGCAGGCCCUGUUCGCCCAGCAGCCCAGCAGAAAAAAGAAAAAGAAAAGAGAAGAAAAGAAAAAAAGAAAGAAAAAAGGGGGGCCCAAGUUGUGCGGCCCGUUCAAUUAAGCUUGUAUUUUCGAGCUUUUCGGUAAUUUUCUUUUUCUAUUUUUAAUUUAAUCUGUGUACUUUUAUAAUAUCUCGUAUUUUAUAUUAUGGUUUUAAUAUUUUCUUUA